GAGAACUCCACAUAGCCGAUUCUUAGGUACACAUUCAGAUGUCGUUGCCAGUGUGAAGUUACGCUAGAUGCAUUGCAUGGCUCGUAUGCUAGGAGUCGCCCUAACGUGCAACAAGUCUGUAAAACAGGAGAUAUGACGUCAAUUUUUGCCACUCCCUUGUCAGGAUUGGCUGUUAACUUAACGGUUCAUUAACUGGACAGAAUGUUAUUUGACGCACGUACACGUAUUAAAGGUGAAUGAGGGGAUUUCUACCAGGUUCGGUGACGUGAUAAGAUCAGAGUUUCACUUCCGCUCUUCUGACCCGCCAUUUUGCACAGGAGGGCCGAGGUACACCACACCGAAGAGGAAGGGAGCGAAUACAAACAGCACAAGAAGGAAAGACCGAUAGCUCACAAUGGAUACCAUGCAUAUGCUCACCAAUUUAUGGAGCUAUAUCUCAGAAGCUGUACUGAUUUUCAUUGUUACAGCGUUAACAAUAAUGUUCACCGUCAAAAGCAUUGUCGGGGCGACUGGCAAUCUUAGUGUCCGUCAAAUUAUAGUUAUUGCUAUCAUUUUCGGCGCCGUAGGCUUGAAACAUCAUUUCCAUGAGUCAAAUACAACAGCUCUUGAAAUGCAACGCCUGAAGCUGGAGGGCCAGAAACUGGAAGUUGAGAGAGAACAACUGUAUCUUAAACGUGAUCUUGAAAGUCAGCGUCUAAAUGUGGCAAGCAUGGAGCUAGAAGUUGAAAAGGAGAAACUGGCUCUGGAACGUGAUCGCGAAAGUCACCAACUGAAAAUGGCAAGCUUAGAUGCGGACGUCAAAAAAGAACAACUGUCUCUUGAACGAGAGCAGGUUCAAGCUUACCGGGAUAUAGCCACGUCUACAGACGUAAUUGAAAUCACAGAGGAUGAGCAACAUGGCUGGAUUUAUAGCGAUUCUAAACGCAUCCAGAAACAGUCGGUGAAACGUUUUUCAGAAUCUGAGAUGGAACGUCUUGGGCUCCAAAUGAACAUAAAAUGGUCACCAAAAAGGAAUACUGGAACUAGAGCAAAAUGGCAACCGGAUCUGUGAUGCAACCUGAUCUGUGAUGAGGACAGGGCCAAAGAAAAAGAAAGAGAAAAACGAACUGCAUCAGACUGAUAACGAAACCAGCAAUCGUAUGUCCAGAAUCAAAUAGUUAUUUUGUUUUGAUAAACGCAAUUGUCAAUAAAGUUGUUUCGCACUUGAUGUCCUGGCAAGGGUUGUCUGCUUUAUUGCUACACGUGACGACAACAAGACGUAGUGUGUAGGGAACUUUUACAGCAUGAUCGCAUCAUCUAUUUGCGAUCUCAUCUAUAUAGUGGGUUUAUAUCAUCAUCGGGUUUAUAUAUAUAAUUUUUUUUAGAUAAAGCAUAGCAAAAAAACUUCGGGGUAAGUGGGGAACUUUGUGCUUAUGAUUUCGCUUGCUUUUUUUGACGUAUGCGGAUACUUAUGCUUAAUUUUGAUAUUUGAAUGUAUGAUUUCGCUUGAUUUGGUUAUUUUCUGCUGUAAAUGAUUUAUGGGAGGCUGUUUUCUGUUCAGCUUUUUUUUUGUUUUUGUAUAUUAUUCUUCAUGGCAAUAAAAAAA